ACUCGAGAGACGAGUACACUGAGCUUGCAAAUAAGCCCAGACGGACUAAACGACGGUACAUUAAAUAAUUUUCAAAAACAGCUUCGCACCGUUCGCUUUAUUAACGUAACGCAAAGUUUCCUCGUGUCAACGAUGCUUUUUCGCUCUGUUAAGCCGAACGCGACUAAAACGAGCCCACGGAAACAAAGAUAAAUUAUUUUUCAACAGAGAUUUUUUCCCGAGAAAACUUUGCCGCGAGUGUUCUCGAGACACGAGAGGGCUUUCCUCGGAUCAUCGUUGAGAAUACGUAGUGUUGCUUGUAGGCGGUGCAGCACGUGCUUCGUAUGCGAAUAUAUUUAGAUGCACAUGUGCGUACAGUGCCGUCUGAAAGUGUUAAACGAAGGAGAGACAACCAUGCGUGUACACUCGGGAUCAAAUCGAAGAGGAUUUAACCCUUUCAAUACGGCGAAAAAUUCAGUUCGAGUUCCCAUUACCGGGAACAGUUAUUUCUCCUCCAGAUUUAAAUGAUACGAUUGAUCUACUAAUCAUGGUAACAGGGAACACAGGAAAGAUGGAAAGACAUCCGGUAUCAAAAGUGCUGAAAAUCGACGUGGGCGCCGAUUCGUGGGCGCCUCGGGUUAUAGUUCGCUCCUUGUAUAGAAACGUGGAUAGAAAAGGCGACGCGGUUCCCCAGCCGAACAAGAUUGCACAUAGGCACGUAUAAGCUUUUCCCGCGAAAAUCAAAGAGGACGCGUUCACGUGGUGUGGAGGUAUGAAAGAAAGAGGAGUUUGCAGGAGGAAAGUGUGACACACAGAAGCUUUUUGUUUCUUCUUUUGAAAAUGUAAAAGGUAGUUACGUUAUCUAAUUAAGGAAGGAUUAGUAUUUUGAAAAAAGGGUGGCCUUACAGCUCCCUCAGGGAGGCGAGCUCCGA